CAAAGAGAAGCUCACCUAUCACCUUUCCACUUCUGACGUGCGGCCGCGAGUGGGUCCAUAACCUUUUCAAAACACAUGACUUUCUAAAAGCAAAACUGAACACUGAAGUUCAUACAUCCUGAAUGUCCUGAAUAGUUUAUUGAAAAAAACAAGAAAAGCAGUAAAAGGUGAAGAGCAUGUGGUAUUGAAGAGUUAAGAGAGGUAAGAUUUUUAAUUCACUUUGAAAAUAUUUACUGAGUUUCUGUUUAGUGCUGGGCACAGUGUAUA
rnacentral:lncRNA from 1 species